AUACAAUCUCCUAUAUAUGUGUUUUCCUUCUCAUGACAGUUGUUUGGGAUAGAGGGGUAUAAAAGAUGCAUUAGAAAUGAAAUCUUGAAUUGUGCGAUCUGUGCUUACAGGUGCUGAAGAGAAGGCUUGCAGAAGAGAUAUAAUUGCCCUUGCGAGAGGUGGUUAUGCAGAAACAUUGUGUCUGCAACAGAAUAGAAAAGCCGAAGGGGA